ACACUGGUGGUUUGGUGGUAGAAUUCUCACCUUCCAUGUGGGAGGCCUGGGUUCGAUCCCUGGCCAAUGCA
rnacentral:tRNA from 1 species